AGAUGGAGUUUGGGCCUGAAGAUGACAAGGUUGAUGACGAUUUGGAUUUCACAUUCUCAAGGGUGAGAAUGAUGGCAAAGCCAAAAACUGAUAUAGGCCAUUCAUGCAAGGAUGCUCAACAUGGCCUAGCGAUUUCCAAGAUGGAAGUCGGUUCUACCACCAGGGAUGGUCGUUUGGAAGUUGGGAAGGAGAAGCAAGGUUGUUUGGGCCUCUCCCUGGCCCAGGUGUUCAGACAUUCCUGGAGGCCCAUUAACCCGAAAUGGUUAUGGGUGCCCAGGUCCAACAUUCUCUCAGGUAAAGGAUACCAGGCAAGACCAGAAGAGGUUCGCCGGCUAGGGCAAAGGGCUAGACGUAUCAAGAGAGUUGAGAC
rnacentral:misc_RNA from 1 species